rnacentral:lncRNA from 1 species
AACUAAAAUCAACAGCACGGCUCAAUUUUGUUAGGAAACCUGCAGUAUUAAUCAUGGAAUUUGUUGGUUUUGUUGCCUUGGUUGGGCUAGGGAUUUGAAGAUUAUACUAAUAGUAGGCUCGGUGAUUAUACUAAUAGUAGGCUCGGUGGUCCAUUGAGGAAGGGUAACGGAGUGGCUAGUGACACAAAGUUCAUGGCAGCCACUAACUUAUUAUGCUGCAUAAGCUGAAAAUUAUGCAGAUCUGGUGCACUUUUGGUUCAGCAGAUUGGUUUUUUGGUGUUAAAGCUUGCCUUUUAUUAUGAAACAACUUGCUGUAAUUUGCUUUCUGUGAGACUAAGUUUUAGU